rnacentral:lncRNA from 1 species
AUCCACGAACCCUGAGCUAGACACAGAGUGCUGAUUGGUGCAUAUACAAUUCUCCAGCUGGACAUAAAACUUCUCCAAAUCCCCACCCAACUCAGGAGCCCAGCUGGCUUUGCUUGGUGGAUCCCGCUCCGGGGCUGUGGGUGGAGCUGCCUGCCAGUCCUGUGCCGCGUUCCCGCACUCUUCAGACCUUGGGUGCAGAGAAAAGUCAGUGGGUUCAGCCUUGCCAGAUAAAAAGUAAUCAAAGGUCGUAAUACCAGCAUUUUUAAUAUUACCGCUGGAAGGCUUAGAAGUGUGUCUUUGCAAUGACAAAAUACAUUGAGAAGCAAUUUACAUCCUAAAUAAUUGUGGCUGAAUGAAAAUGGAGAUUGACAAAAAGAUCUUAUCAGUUUUUCUGUUUUGGAAGUUGAGGAAGACGUGUUAUAUUCCUAUAUUAGAAGAUCUAUUUAUGCUGAUUAAUAUGAGCCAGAAGAGAAAAGGGAUGGAUGAUGCAGAAGACACAUAGAGAUCUGAUAAAGUGAAAAUUCUUACAGUGGCAAAAAGAUGGGUUUCAGUAUGCUUUUGUACAUUAGGGAACUCAUUUUCCUCUGGGUGGUUAAAAGAUUGCCAAGGAGAAUUUUAGCAUCGACAGUUUUAAAGGAAUCAAUUUUCAGCAACUCAAUUUUCAUGUGAACUUUUCUAAAGCGAUGUCGCUGAAAAAUUUAUCUAUACUCAGGAUACACUUUUUUGUUCCCAAAAGAAUGGCAUCAUUCAAAAUCUUAAUGUAGUGCAUUAUCCUGUGGUGGAUUACUUCUGGAGUAACAAAUAGCAAGGCUAUCUAACGAUAAUUCAAUAUUUCAGUCUAAAGUUUCUCAUUCUUCAUGUUCCAUCUACAUUUCUCUCUCUCUCUCUUUCUCUGUCUGUCUAUCUAUCUAUCUAUCUAUCUAUCUAUCUAUCUAUCUAAUCUAUCUAUCUACCAAUCUAUCUACCUUUCUAUCUAUCAUCUAUCUGAUCUAUCUCUAGUAAAGUGAAGCCUGGCAUUUAGAAAAGUGGCGUAUUCAUCCAUGUUGAGGUGUUGUGAGUUAAGAUAUAGGUAGGAAUAAAAUGGAAAACACUUUCCUUAAAUAUAUUUUAUAUUCUCCUACUAUUGAUUCCUUUACAACUAUUUCAAUUUAAGAAGAAAAAUGUCAGAUAGUGUGAUAUGAAUCAUGUUUGAGAAAUAUUUCCUUGAGAGUUUGACUAGUGCAACAAAAAAUAUCUGUAAGGGACAAUGAAUGUUAAAAAUGGUUUUAUUCCUGUGCUCGAGCAAAACCUACUCUUUUUAUGUAUUCUCAAUUUUCAGCCCUAGAAUGUGUUAUUAACUUGAAAGAAAAACUCUCCCAAAGAUCUAAAAGUUAUGCUGAUUUUUUAGAAAUAACUAAAGGUUUUCAAGACUACCAAAAUUUCAAGCUACAUGGGACAAUUACCAAUGUAUGGUGUGUGAGGGGAAGACUGUAGUAAGUUUAGAUGUCACUGAAUAUUUUUCACUAAGGGAUUUAAAGCAUUUUAUACUAUACAAAACAAUAAAAUGUCUAUUUUAUUUUCA